GCACGCAUUGACGGCAAGUACGUCACCUUUAAGGUGGACACAGGAUCGCAGGCAAACAUUUUGCCACUUUCAAUGUUUGCCAUGCUCAACAGCCGUCGCCUCCAUCAUUGCGACGCAGCCG
rnacentral:lncRNA from 1 species